AUGUAACAAGGUUUCCGUAGGUGAACCUGCGGAAGGAUCAUUA
rnacentral:rRNA from 2 species